rnacentral:rRNA from 1 species
CGCUAUCACUCCUACGGGAGGCAGCAGUGGGGAAUAUUGCACAAUGGGGGAAACCCUGAUGCAGCCAUGCCGCGUGUGUGAAGAAGGCCUUCGGGUUGUAAAGCACUUUCAGUAGGGAGGAAGGUAGUGUAGUUAACACCUGCAUUAUUUGACGUUACCUACAGAAGAAGCACCGGCUAACGCCGUGCCAGCAGCCGCGGUAAUACGGAGGGUGCGAGCGUUAAUCGGAAUUACUGGGCGUAAAGCGCAUGCAGGCGGCCUGUUAAGUCAGAUGUGAAAGCCCGGGGCUUAACCUCGGAAUUGCAUUUGAAACUGGCAGGCUAGAGUCUUGUAGAGGGGGUAGAAUUUCAGGUGUAGCGGUGAAAUGCGUAGAGAUCUGAAGGAAUACCAGUGGCGAAGGCGGCCCCCUGGACAAAGACUGACGCUCAGAUGCGAAAGCGUGGGGAGCAAACAGGAUUAGAUACCCUGGUAG